rnacentral:sRNA from 1 species
CGAGACGACCAAUGUGUAGUAACACGACUGCUUUCCGCAGUAACAACAUUUAAAAAAUAGUUAUGAUGGUUCCAGUUUCGUUAAGUACCUUUUCUACUGAUGCCAUGAUGCAAACGAGAUAGAAAAAUAAGACAUGACUUGUACGUUACUGCUCUCUAAAGAUUGAGAUUUAGAUUUUUUUUAGCUCUACAAAAACAUUAUUACCAUAGUGUCACUGUUACUAUGCAUGUUCUCUGUUACUGCAAAUUUCGCCAUAUCGUUAUUACCAACCGUGCAGUAACAACAUAUAAAUUUUGCAGUAACAACACAUAAAUUUGGCAGUAACAUAUCAUGUUACUACCCUUCUGGGAUAAUGUUACUGCCGAAUCAUAGUAACGAAGGUAUGAUUAUUACAGCAACAUAACUGAUUUGUUCUCACACAAUUUGAACAUAUAUACAAAGCAUGCAAACAAUAUUUUCUAUUCACAUAACAUCAUGUGGUGAAUUGGUUAGGAGAGUUUGCCAUGAACCAUGAGAUCAUAGGUUCAAGUCUUAAUUUCACCAAUUUUUUUUAAAUUUUUCUAAUAAAAGAGAGAAGAAUAGGAGGAAAAAAGAGAGAAUGGAGGGAGAGAAAAACGAAGAAAAAAAAUAGAGGAGGGCGCUAGGAGGAGAAAAAGCGAAGAAAAAAGAGGGCUCUGCCCGGGAUCGAUCGGGAGGAGGAGAAAAGAGUGAAGAAAAUCGAGGGCAAGGGAGGAGGAGGAGGGCGGCGCCGGGAGAAGGAAGAAAAAGAAAAAAAAAGUAGAGGAAGAGGCGCCAUGAUCGGGAGGAGAAAAGAGCGAAGAAAAUCGAGGGCAAGGGAGGAGGAGGGCGGCGCCGGGAGAAGGAAG